ACGGGAGGCAGCAGUGGGGAAUAUUGCACAAUGGGGGAAACCCUGAUGCAGCAACGCCGCGUGAGUGAAGAAGUAUUUCGGUAUGUAAAGCUCUAUCAGCAGGAAAGAAAAUGACGGUACCUGACUAAGAAGCCCCGGCUAACUACGUGCCAGCAGCCGCGGUAAUACGUAGGGGGCAAGCGUUAUCCGGAUUUACUGGGUGUAAAGGGAGCGUAGACGGUUUUGCAAGUCUGAAGUGAAAGCCCGGGGCUUAACCCCGGGACUGCUUUGGAAACUGUAGAACUAGAGUGCAGGAGAGGUAAGUGGAAUUCCUAGUGUAGCGGUGAAAUGCGUAGAUAUUAGGAGGAACACCAGUGGCGAAGGCGGCUUACUGGACUGUAACUGACGUUGAGGCUCGAAAGCGUGGGGAGCAAACAGGAUUAGAUACCCUGGUAGUCCACGCCGUAAACGAUGAUUAUUAGGUGUUGGUGGGUACGACCCCAUCGGUGCC
rnacentral:rRNA from 1 species